GGAGACGUCGCAUAGUCUGGUCGAGUGCACCACCCUGCUAAGGUGGAGUCCCGGGUUUCCGGGACCGAGGGUUCAAAUCCCUCCGUCUCCG
rnacentral:tRNA from 1 species